rnacentral:rRNA from 1 species
UACGAAGGGGGCUAGCGUUGCUCGGAAUCACUGGGCGUAAAGCGCACGUAGGCGGCUUUCUAAGUCAGGGGUGAAGUCCUGGAGCUCAACUCCAGAGCUGCCUUUGAUACUGGAGAGCUUGAGUCCGGAAGAGGUGAGUGGAACUCCGAGUGUAGAGGUGAAAUUCGUAGAUAUUCGGAAGAACACCAGUGGCGAAGGCGGCUCACUGGUCCGGUACUGACGCUGAUGUGCGAAAGCGUGGGGAGCAAACAGG